UAUACAAUAUUUUGAGGUCAGUCACAUUCCAAUAUCACAUCAUCCACUUAAUCAAGAUAGGGCUGCCAAAUUUUAAGAAAGGUGUUGUAUCCCUUUCUAACGGUUAUUGUUAUUUUCUCUAAAGG